UUUAACUGAAGAGUUUGAUCAUGGCUCAGAUUGAACGCUGGCGGCAGGCUUAACACAUGCAAGUCGAGCGGGGGAAAGUAGCUUGCUACUGGACCUAGCGGCGGACGGGUGAGUAAUGCUUAGGAAUCUGCCUAUUAGUGGGGGACAACAUCUCGAAAGGGAUGCUAAUACCGCAUACGUCCUACGGGAGAAAGCAGGGGAUCUUCGGACCUUGCGCUAAUAGAUGAGCCUAAGUCGGAUUAGCUAGUUGGUGGGGUAAAGGCCUACCAAGGCGACGAUCUGUAGCGGGUCUGAGAGGAUGAUCCGCCACACUGGGACUGAGACACGGCCCAGACUCCUACGGGAGGCAGCAGUGGGGAAUAUUGGACAAUGGGGGGAACCCUGAUCCAGCCAUGCCGCGUGUGUGAAGAAGGCCUUAUGGUUGUAAAGCACUUUAAGCGAGGAGGAGGCUACUCUAGUUAAUACCUAGGGAUAGUGGACGUUACUCGCAGAAUAAGCACCGGCUAACUCUGUGCCAGCAGCCGCGGUAAUACAGAGGGUGCGAGCGUUAAUCGGAUUUACUGGGCGUAAAGCGUGCGUAGGCGGCUUAUUAAGUCGGAUGUGAAAUCCCCGAGCUUAACUUGGGAAUUGCAUUCGAUACUGGUGAGC
rnacentral:rRNA from 1 species